UUGGAGAUGAAUACCCUUUGGGUAAAAAAGAAUUCUGUUCUAUAAAAUUCUAGAUAAAAAAAAUGAAACGACAACUUUUAUCUAUGUGUCUUGACCAAAUCACGUGCCAGCAGUCGCGGUAAGACGUGGAAGACUAGUAUUAUUCAUCUUUAAUAGGUUUAAAGGGUACCUAGACAGUCGAUAAAGCCUAAAAUAAAGUGAAGGAACUAAUUGACUAGAGUGUUAUGAGAGAAAAUAGAAUGAUGAGUGUAGAGAUAAAAUUCUGUGAUACCAUUUUAGACUGGCAAAAGCGAAGGCAAUUUUUUAUGUAAACACUGACGUUAAGGGACGAAGGCUUAUGAUAACGAACAGGAUUAGAUACCCUAGUAAUCGAAGCAGACAAUGAUGAGUGCCAUAUAUAAGUAAUAAGUAAUAAAAAACUCUUACUUCACAUAUAUAUAAAUGAAAAUGUAAGCACUCCACCUCAAGAGUAAUACGGCAACGUAUAAACUGAAAUCACUAGACCGUUUCUGAAACCAGCAGUGAAGUAUGUUAUUUAAUUUGAUGAUCCGCGGAAAACCUUACCACAAUUUGAAUAUUUAUAUUUUAAUAUAAUUACAGGUGUUGCACGGCUGUCUUCAGUUGAUGUCGUGAGAUUUUGGUUAGUUCCAUUAAAUUAACGUAAACCCUUACUUUAUUUGUUAUAAAGUAGCUCAUCGCUAUAUUGAAAUGUGAUAAGA
rnacentral:rRNA from 1 species